GGCUUAGAGUUUGAUCAUGGCUCAGGAUGAACGCUGGCGGCGUGCCUAACACAUGCAAGUCGAACGAAGCGCUUUACUUUGAUUUCUUCGGGAUGAAGAGUUUUGUGACUGAGUGGCGGACGGGUGAGUAACGCGCGGGUAACCUGCCUCAUACAGGGGGAUAACAGUUAGAAAUGACUGCUAAUACCGCAUAAGGCCACAGCUUCGCAUGGAGCAGUGGUAAAAACUCCGGUGGUAUGAGAUGGACCCGCGUCUGAUUAGCUAGUUGGUAAGGUAAGGGCUUACCCAAGGCGACGAUCAGUAGCCGGCCUGAGAGGGUGGACGGCCACAUUGGGACUGAGACACGGCCCAAACUCCUACGGGAGGCAGCAGUGGGGAAUAUUGCACAAUGGGGGAAACCCUGAUGCAGCGACGCCGCGUGAGCGAAGAAGUAUUUCGGUAUGUAAAGCUCUAUCAGCAGGGAAGAAACUGACGGUACCUGACUAAGAAGCACCGGCUAAAUACGUGCCAGCAGCCGCGGUAAUACGUAUGGUGCAAGCGUUAUCCGGAUUUACUGGGUGUAAAGGGAGCGUAGACGGAUAGGCAAGUCUGGAGUGAAAACCCGGGGCUCAACCCCGGGACUGCUUUGGAAACUGUUUAUCUAGAGUGCUGGAGAGGUAAGUGGAAUUCCUAGUGUAGCGGNGAAAUGCGUAGAUAUUAGGAGUAACACCAGUGGCCAAAGCGUCUUUACUGGCCGUACUUGACCUUGAGGCUCGCAUGCUU
rnacentral:rRNA from 1 species